rnacentral:tRNA from 1 species
GGAAAGUGUAUGGAGGGUUACUGCUAAUAAUCUUUGGUCAAUUUAGUUUGACGCUUUUUC